UACGUAGGGGGCAAGCGUUGUCCGGAAUUAUUGGGCGUAAAGAGCGCGUAGGCGGUCCGAUAAGUCGGCUGUGAAAGUCAGGGGCUCAACCCUUGAAAGCCGGCCGAUACUGUCGGACUAGAGUCCGGAAGAGGCAAGUGGAAUUCCCGGUGUAGCGGUGAAAUGCGCAGAUAUCGGGAGGAACACCAAUGGCGAAGGCAGCUUGCUGGGACGGUACUGACGCUGAGGCGCGAAAGCGUGGGAGCAAACAGG
rnacentral:rRNA from 1 species